UGGGGAAUUUUGGACAAUGGGCGCAAGCCUGAUCCAGCCAUGCCGCGUGUCUGAAGAAGGCCUUCGGGUUGUAAAGGACUUUUGUCAGGGAAGAAAAGGAUAGGGUUAAUACCCCUGUCUGAUGACGGUACCUGAAGAAUAGGCACCGGCUAACUACGUGCCAGCAGCCGCGGUAAUACGUAGGGUGCGAGCGUUAAUCGGAAUUACUGGGCGUAAAGCGGGCGCAGACGGUUACUUAAGCAAGAUGUGAAAUCCCCGGGCUCAACCUGGGAACUGCGUUCUGAACUGGGUGACUAGAGUGUGUCAGAGGGAGGUAGAAUUCCACGUGUAGCAGUGAAAUGCGUAGAGAUGUGGAGGAAUACCGAUGGCGAAGGCAGCCUCCUGGGAUAACACUGACGUUCAUGCCCGAAAGCGUGGGUAGCAAACAGGAUUAGAUACCCUGGUAGUCCACGCCCUAAACGAUGUCGAUUAGCUGUUGGGCAGCUUGACUGCUUAGUAGCGAAGCUAACGCGUGAAAUCGACCGCCUGGGGAGUACGGUCGCAAGAUUA
rnacentral:rRNA from 1 species